rnacentral:rRNA from 1 species
AGCUCUGAAGGUGUAUACCACCGUUGUUGCGGUUAAAACGCUCGUAGUUGGAUCUAUGUCUGUGGAGUCGGUGCUCUCUGAAGAGAGCUACUGACUACCUGGACUGAUACAGCUGGUUUUCCCUUGGUGCUCUUUACUGGGUGCCUUGGGUGGCUAGCAAGUUUACUUUGAAAAAAUUAGAGUGCUCAAAACAGGCGAUUGCCUGAAUAGUGGUGCAUGGAAUAAUGGAAUAGGAUCUUGGUCCUAUUUUGUUGGUUUUCGGGAGCCAAGAUAAUGAUUAAGAGGGACAGACGGGGGCAUUCGUAUUGCAGCGUUAGAGGUGAAAUUCUUGGAUCGUUGCAAGACGAACAACUGCGAAAGCAUUUGCCAAGAAUGUUUUCAUUAAUCAAGAACGAAAGUA